rnacentral:lncRNA from 1 species
UCCUCCCGCAAUGUCACGUGGAUUCAAUCCUAACGGGAGGCUAACUUGAAACGCAGGUUCAGGAUUCCAAAUUCAGUGGCAUUUCACUACGCAUCUAACUUGGCGUCAUACAUGUCACACAAAGCAAAGCACAGGACGAGGUCACCCAGCGCACAAGACACAAGAGGUAAGAAGUUAAGGAACCCGAUGUGCUCAGUGUGUGAGCACGCGGGUGUUGGGGCGAGGCCUCCGCCCGGUCCAGGGCAGCUCUUUGGCACCUGCUGCUUUUUAGGCAUAAGCAGCGAGGAUCUCUCGUCCGUUCGGAGAUCAGUGGGCAGAGACUUUGGUGGCGGUUGUCUUUUUGAUGUGGCCAGAUGUGAAAGGUCGGCGUCUGGAGAGCCUGACCGUUGGCUCCGAAGUCCUCUCUUUGAAAAGGGCCUUUGCAGGUCUUCUCUGGUUCUGCUGGUUAUCAGUUCUGGAUGUCGUCACCUGUGCUAUUCACAGAACUACUUGAAUAAGAAGUUAGGUGACUUUUGUGAAGUAUUGACAGUGCCUGGCAUGUGGCACUUCUGGAAUCUACUCGCUGGCAUCCCUGUGGCACCCUCCAUCCCUCUGUUCAGUCUCCACCAGGCUGACCACCCAUACCCGAGGAAGGCCUGCCUGAGCUGCUCUUGGUGUUGGAACCAAGUCACCCCAUCAUCACUGGGCCCCAGUCCCACCCCCUUCCCCUCCCCCGCUUCAUUUCUAUCUCAAGCUCUGGAUCAGCAGAGAUGAACGAAAGCUAAAGACUUCAGAUUCCACCUGCACUUUUACUGGGUGCCCAGUGGCUGCCAUCGCAGACAUGUGCCCAGAGGACACACAGCAAUGCUUUGACUUCCACCUGUUACUGAAAUAGGACCCGGCUCUUGCCUUGACUACCUAUCUUUGACCUCAGUCUGUAUUUCUAAGUGAUGAACUUCUUCUUCCCAGCUUUUUGUUACCUCAGGCCGAAGACAGGCCGGCAAAGCAUCCCGUGAUGGGAACUGAAACCACCCCCUCGAGCAAUAACAACUGUCCGCACACCAGCACGACCCUGCGUGCGUGACCCCAAGACCACGACCAGCCUGACCCCUGCUUCCCAGCUGCAUGGACCCACCGACUUUGUCCCGCGGUUUUCUUACGUAACCCAACAAGUAUCUCCAGCACUCCGGAGACAUUGGGCCAUUAGCCUGCUGUCUGCGCAGCGUCCGGCUCACUGAAAUAAAUCCCUUUCUUGUUUUGCCACCGUUUGUCUCUCUGGAUUUUAUCAGCGGUACGUGGACAAACCUGGUCUGUGUGGGCCCCGCUAACAUUGCAUGCAGUUGUGCAUGACGUUACCGCUGGCAGAAGCUGGCAGAGAACAUGCAAGAUGUCUCUGUAUGAUUUCUAACAAUUGCAUGUGAAUUCCUAACUAUCUCAAAAUUAAAA